CAGUCUGAAGAGAAACUGGCACCUGCAGUGAUGACUCAUUCCAUCUGCGUCAGGAUCUGAGACAGGAGCACUAAUAUCUCUCUACAGUUUCUAUUCUGUAACUGUUAUGGAGGCUCUGAAGAAUAGCCUCUAGAGUCUAGCGCACUAAGCACACCUGUAAGCCCAAAGGAACAAAUCACAUCAAAUGUCUAAUUUUACCAGUGAAUUUAAUGCAUGUAUCAAACCAGUAAUAAAGUGAAAUAAUGAUUUUGCACAAAGUGACAGAGAGCAGAAAUAAAAAAGAUUUAGCACCAUAGAAAAUCUCUAAUUUAGGGGCAGUUCUAAAAGCUUUUAAAUGGACUAUGUUGUGUGCACGUGCCCAAAGAACUCGAGAUUGCUCUUAGGAACCUCAGGAUCACACUAAAGCCCACAUCUUGUCCAAAGAGAAACCUGGAGGAAGUAUUAUGAAACAUUUGGAUCUGCAUUAUUAUUCUUAGCUGAUUGAAGUAUUCAUCACAAGACAUGUAUUUGCUGAAUGUAACCCUUUAUUCUGUCUCUGUGAGCAGAUGGAAAUUUAUACCCAUUUGUUUUUCCGAACUGCUUCGCUUGUUACUGCAAAUAUAUUCAAGCUUUGAGAUUUUUAUGAACUUUAGCAGAAUAUUCAGUCAUAGAAUCAUAAAAGCUCGAAAAGACUACUAAGAUUGUCUACACCAAACCAUCACCACCAUUCCCACUAAGCCAUGUUCUUCAGUACUUCACCUAACUUCUACGUGAAAGCCUUCAGGCAUGACGACAACCCUGCUGGGCAGCCAGUUCUAAUGCCUACUGUUCUUUCUGAGAAUAUUUUUUUCCUAAUAUCCAAUUAUUUGCUAGUGUAAUACUUACAAUAGAUUAUUUAAGCUUUGAUUGUUCUCCAAAUUAACACAGUCCUUGCAGUCUGAAGUUUUCAGGCAAGAGGCAACAAGGGAUAAUAGGAAUGGGAAGAUAUGAAGGGAACCAAACGUGGUCAGUGGCACUAACUUAUGAGGUCAUGUGAGAAUGUGAGGAUGUUGAUUCCAAAGGAGCUAACUUAUUGAGGAUUUCUAGGCUGGGAGAUGGUCCCAAGAAACAAGCCUCCCCAUCACACUAAUUGGUGGGAUAACAUCCUAGAGGUGUCACUUCCAAAAAGGAUAAACCUUGUAGCUUAGAAGACUGGGAACAAAGGGGCCCAGACUGGGAGUGUGCAGAAACUGGCAGAGCUCAGAAAACACAUGAGAAUGUGCAGGUGGAAGUGGGAGUAGAAUUAGUAAAAAAAGUGGGAAAGGGAGAUAGAUAUAAAGCUUCUGCUUAUGCUUAAACCAUGGCCAGUCAGAACACUUGCCUAGAUGAACCUGGACACUGAAGUGUUUCUUAUCUUCUUAUAUUUCCUCAUUAAAUCAUUUCUUAACCUUCUCUGUCUAUUUGCACUCUGUUACCCAUGCCUGUGUGCUACAAGGAUUAUGUGCCAGUUACUGGCAAGACUUAGAUGUGUGAGUGAACUUGGUGUCAC
ensembl:lncRNA